GGAUGUGAGGGCGAUCCAGCUGUGACAUCUGUCACCCCAUUGAUCACCAGGGUCAAUUCGGCUGAUCUGGCUGGCUAGGUGGGUGUCCCCUUUCUCCCUCACCGCUCCAUGUGUGUCCCUCCCGAAGCUGCACACUCGGUGGAAGAGGACAAUCAUCCGAGACAGAAGGGGUGUAUCUUCAGUCAAGGGUCUACGAUAGCUGCGCUCCCCUGCUAGAUCCUCCAAACAAGUUUAAGGUUUCCAAAUCUUCUAUUGCUUGGCAUUGCAGUAUUAGCCCUAGAAUUCAUCUGGGCUC
rnacentral:snRNA from 1 species